UAACAUUCAACACAUAUUUCUCUUAGCGGUAUGUCUACUGUAACAUGCUUUAGCUUGGUAAGAGUGAAUUCACAUUUUGGUCAUUUUGAUUUUGAAAAAAAAAAUUAGAAAAUAUGUUAGGACAUUUUGUAAGAUACAAAUGUACAUACACAUCACAAUGAUUUAUUCUAUCAGGUUUGACAAUGAUAAAAAAACUUGUUGGUGAAAGCUUUACUUUGUGUACAGGAAUAGCAUACAUUUUGUAUAAAACGUCCUUGUUUCCCUGUUUGUUGACAUGUUACCCAAAAUAAUGGCAAACUCAGAAGAAAAAAUCCAUUUUUACUCCACACACUGUAUAACCUUUUCCAUCUUUAUAAAUCCCUUUCAGUCUUUUUGUCCAAAACAAUCAAAAAGAAAAAUUCCAUUCCCCAAAAUAAUUUCAUCAAGUUGGUAGAAUAUUAUUAGGUAUUCCAACCAAAAUUUCAAAAGUACAAUACAAUAUUAGUUUUUACUGUUUCUGAAAGAGCUAAUAAAGAGAAUUAAAAUGCUUUUUAAAUGAAGCAAAUAUCUUAAGCGGUUGCUGAGAUAUGGCUUCUUGAAGUUUCCAAAAUCUGCCCUCUGAAAUGGCCGGCCGCGCGAUAAAUUACGAAAAUUAACAAAAUAGCUUUUUUAAGGGGUGAUAAAAAGGUAAGUGAAGGCUGAAAAGCUUAUUUUAUCUUAUUUACUUGUAAUAUGCACUACAUAGAAAUAUUCUACAGGAUUCCAGACAUUAAUAUCUUUUUAUUAUGUUUUUACACAGGGUCAAAGUAUGCAUUUUGCAACAAAUUACUCAGGUGGCAGCGUGACCUUUGACCCCUGGGGAAGGAAAAUUCCUCCAAACUUUACACACUUCUAUCUCUUGACAGGAAUGACCAUGUCUUCCAAUAUUUCACAUAAAACAGCACCCAGUGGUGUUCUUUCACACAAUAACAGUCAUGUUAUCUGUACUUCAUAAGAAAAUGAGUAAAUUUUGGUAUAUAUACACGCAUUUUUGAUUGCGUUCUAUGGUAUUUUGCGGGUGAGUAUACUAUACGGUGCACUGUACUAGACCGAGUACCAUACUUAAAAUACUUUUACAAUGUACAGCAUUAUGUUAUUUUCUAUUACCAAAGAAUGCCACAUCCACAGAAUGUCAACAAUGGUAACUUCUUUAAUAAGAAGGUCAACUUGGUCAAGGUCAAAGGUAAGAUUGCAUGAACAUCUCGCAUUAUUUGAUGAGGCACAAUGUUACACUGCAUCAUUAGCAUAAGUUCACACUUGCACAAUACAUGACAGAUGUUAGUACUAUAAGAAGAAGAG